CCUACACAUAUAAGAGAGAGUAGAUAUAUACGUGCAUUACAGUGCAGCAUUAGCUUUUAAUUAAAAAAGAUGGUUGGGAUUGAAUGGUUUUAUAAAAGUGCAACCAUGCAACAAUUCACUAAUUAAAUUUAGUAAAUUACAUUACCUUUAAUCAUAAGAUCAUUCCAUAUGUCCUAUUAAAAACAUAACAUUUCUAGAUAUGAUUUGGGCAGUCCAUUUGUAGUUUUAAUCCAACCUUACAUGGUAUAUUCAAUGUUCCAC
rnacentral:lncRNA from 1 species